GCAGUCGAGCGACUGAUUAGAAGCUUGCUUCUAUGACGUUAGCGGCGGCCGGGUGAGUAACACGUGGGCAACCUGCCUGUAAGACUGGGAUAACUUCGGGAAACCGAAGCUAAUACCGGAUAGGAUCUUCUCCUUCAUGGGAGAUGAUUGAAAGAUGGUUUCGGCUAUCACUUACAGAUGGGCCCGCGGUGCAUUAGCUAGUUGGUGAGGUAACGGCUCACCAAGGCAACGAUGCAUAGCCGACCUGAGAGGGUGAUCGGCCACACUGGGACUGAGACACGGCCCAGACUCCUACGGGAGGCAGCAGUAGGGAAUCUUCCGCAAUGGACGAAAGUCUGACGGAGCAACGCCGCGUGAGUGAUGAAGGCUUUCGGGUCGUAAAACUCUGUUGUUAGGGAAGAACAAGUACAAGAGUAACUGCUUGUACCUUGACGGUACCUAACCAGAAAGCCACGGCUAACUACGUGCCAGCAGCCGCGGUAAUACGUAGGUGGCAAGCGUUAUCCGGAAUUAUUGGGCGUAAAGCGCGCGCAGGCGGUUUCUUAAGUCUGAUGUGAAAGCCCACGGCUCAACCGUGGAGGGUCAUUGGAAACUGGGGAACUUGAGUGCAGAAGAGAAAAGCGGAAUUCCACGUGUAGCGGUGAAAUGCGUAGAGAUGUGGAGGAACACCAGUGGCGAAGGCGGCUUUUUGGUCUGUAACUGACGCUGAGGCGCGAAAAGCGUGGGGAGCAAACAGGAUUAGAUACCCUGGUAGUCCACGCCGUAAACGAUGAGUGCUAAAGUGUUAGAGGGGUUUCCGCCCUUUAGUGCUGCAGCUAACGCAUUUAAGCACUCCGCCUGGGGGAGUACG
rnacentral:rRNA from 1 species